rnacentral:snRNA from 1 species
AUACUUACCUGUACCGGGAUCUCGUUGAUCACCGAGGACGAGCCCCCAGGGCGUGGCAUGGGCAUUGAACUACGCUCGCGUUGACCCCUGCCACUACCCCAAACUGGGGCGAAUGGGGCAUGCAAACUGCUU